rnacentral:rRNA from 1 species
AUAGCCUGCUAGUUGUGCGGGUUUAGACCCGCAGCGGAAAGCUCAGUAACACGUGGCCAAGCUACCCUGUGGACGGGAAUACUCUCGGGAAACUGAGGCUAAUCCCCGAUAACGCUUUGCUCCUGGAAGGGGCAAAGCCGGAAACGCUCCGGCGCCACAGGAUGCGGCUGCGGUCGAUUAGGUAGACGGUGGGGUAACGGCCCACCGUGCCCAUAAUCGGUACGGGUUGUGAGAGCAAGAGCCCGGAGACGGAAUCUGAGACAAGAUUCCGGGCCCUACGGGGCGCAGCAGGCGCGAAACCUUUACACUGUACGAAAGUGCGAUAAGGGGACUCCGAGUGUGAAGGCAUAGAGCCUUCACUUUUGUACACCGUAAGGUGGUGCACGAAUAAGGACUGGGCAAGACCGGUGCCAGCCGCCGCGGUAAUACCGGCAGUCCGAGUGAUGGCCGAUCUUAUUGGGCCUAAAGCGUCCGUAGCUGGCUGAACAAGUCCGUUGGGAAAUCUGUCCGCUUAACGGGCAGGCGUCCAGCGGAAACUGUUCAGCUUGGGACCGGAAGACCUGAGGGGUACGUCUGGGGUAGGAGUGAAAUCCUGUAAUCCUGGACGGACCGCCGGUGGCGAAAGCGCCUCAGGAGAACGGAUCCGACAGUGAGGGACGAAAGCUAGGGUCUCGAACCGGAUUAGAUACCCGGGUAGUCCUAGCUGUAAACGAUGUCCGCUAGGUGUGGCGCAGGCUACGAGCCUGCGCUGUGCCGUAGGGAAGCCGAGAAGCGGACCGCCUGGGAAGUACGUCUGCAAGGAUGAAACUUAAAGGAAUUGGCGGGGGAGCACUACAACCGGAGGAGCCUGCGGUUUAAUUGGACUCAACGCCGGACAUCUCACCAGCCCCGACAGUAGUAAUGACGGUCAGGUUGAUGACCUUACCCGAGGCUACUGAGAGGAGGUGCAUGGCCGCCGUCAGCUCGUACCGUGAGGCGUCCUGUUAAGUCAGGCAACGAGCGAGACCCGCACUCCUAAUUGCCAGCAGUACCCUUUGGGUAGCUGGGUACAUUAGGUGGACUGCCGCUGCCAAAGCGGAGGAAGGAACGGGCAACGGUAGGUCAGUAUGCCCCGAAUGGGCUGGGCAACACGCGGGCUACAAUGGUCGA